GCGCGGUGGCGGCGGGGGGCUCGCCGGGGGCCGGCUGCUGGCCGCGCAGGCUGCGGUUCUCGGUGCUCAGCUCGUCCAGCCGCCGCUCCAGCUCGUCGAUGCGCUGCCGCUGGGUGUGGAUGAGGCUCUGCUGGUUCUGCACGAUGGCGGUGAGCUCCUUCAGAUCAGCAAAAACUGCACCGUAGCAAGGAGCUCCUGAAGUGAGGAACCAAGAAAUGUGAAGGAGAAUCUCAGCCUCAGAUGAGCGGAAAGGUGUAUUUCCAGUCCUUUCUGUUCACAGAUAGCCUUGGGAAUGUAAACUGAUGCAAACAGGAUCACCAGGAUUAGAAACCGUUCACAGAUUACUUCUAAAAAUGAACUGCUAUUCACAGUUCUCUUGCAAGCACUUAGAGAUGGCUUUGGGGGAUCGUGAAACAUUGCAGUAUGUCCCCUGUGUGUCAGGGGAAGACCCCAGAGUGAACUCUAAGAGCACUCAAAUCCCCCACACUUACGAUUUUAAUGGAAAUAUUAAAGAGAGACCUUUCUCCACCUCACUGCCUGGUGUGCCAUUAAUGUCUUGUGAGGGGGGGUCCACUGAACAGGAACUAGCGUUGUGUAGCAAGGUGAGAGAUGGUUGUAGGGGAAUGUGAAAAAAGGCACACGCAGAAACACAGGGGAGAUGAAAGCACCUAAGAUACUUUGGGGUAAGAGUAGAAAUGAUCAUUUAGGAAACUGUGCUGGUAUGCUGCCUCCUUUCAAGAGACACUACUGAGCAGCAUCAGUUCAGUCCUGUCUCACAGGAAUGGAGUCCAGGGAAACCAGAGGAAAUCAUGUACUUUUGGCAUGGAAAAGAAUUCUGGGAAAGAACAUGGGAUAGCUGUGGGUACAUUGGUAUACGUACAUACACACACACACAAAGAUAAGAGAGCUUCCUUGUCCUCAUUAGGAGAGACUUUAGGCAGGGAUUGUUUCUCUUGCGGAAUGGAACAGGCUGUUUCAACACUUAGGGGCUAGCUCUGUGCGCAGUUCUAUCUUCAUGUUGGACAUAAUGUUCCUUUUCUGCCCACCUGGAUAAAAGCAACAACGGAAUAAGGGCCAUAGACAUUGUGCUGGCCUAUCCGUAUACAGUAAGACAGGUUGUGGUACGUAUUCUUAAGGUAAUAGUAACUAAAAAGUAUCCUGGUGUGGAAGACCAGGGAUGGGACAAUACAGCUUGGAUGUCCUGUGUCAUGGUGCUUGAAUGCUCAUCAGGCAACGUGAAUUUUACUGUCUGGAAUGGACUUGAUAUAUUUAUUCGCUUUUUUUGCAGUCUAUUUGCUUGACCAGCCUCAGUAGCCCAGUUUCUACUCAUAAUUUUUUGUCAUAAAUAAAACAGACAAGGACCUACAGCCAUAGAUUGAAUGAAUGAGCUAGGAGAAUCAGAAAGAAACCAGUUUUCUGUGUGGGUCUGGGGACUGGCAGACAAAAAUGGUAAGACCAGCCCUGACCUUCCAGGUUUCCAGAGAGCAUGUGCCAAAGGAAGAAGCAGCACAAUGCUUUUGUGCCUAACAUGAAAGACUAUGCAGGGAUCUACUUACAAAAUUUCAAGAGGUAAUAGAGUUACAUAAUCCUUUGUAAUAAGAAAAUUCAAUGAAGAGAGGGUAUUCAUUCAAGAGGAAUCUGCAAGGAUAUCAGAAGAAAUUGAAUGUCUUCUUUUGCUCGGAGCUUCUCACAAGAAACUCAGGCAGUCUUCUCUCCAUUUCUUGCAUUGAUCUCGUUCUCCAGCACGUACCUGGUUCAGGGCUUGCAAGGAACAUGGUGGAAUUGCUUCAGACAGCUACCACCAUCCACGCUCCUGCAAUUGACUCUGUACAGCCAGGCCUCUGACUGCACAGCCUCUGGCAAAGGACACAAGGGACCACACUGCUUUGGGGGGCCCAGCUGCAGAAGGCAGGAGAACUGAAGAACGACGGCAGCAUCACAUACCUGAAUGAGGGAUCAAGGCCACAUGUGCAAACAGGAUCCUCUCUCCAAAGAUAUCACAGCACAGGAGCCUGCAAUGGUGCACACUCAAGGCCAAGCAGCCUGGUUAUAUUCAGAGAGACCGUAACACUCCCAGCGUGACAGUCUGCCUGUCCUGGCUGGGGCUCCAAAGAGGAGUAGGAGCAAAAACUACCUCCUUAUUGCUCGUGCAGGCUCAGCUAAACCCAAGGAGUUACUGUGAUGGGAACCCACGUGGAGAUGAUAUUCUGGCAACUGCUGGCAUUUCUAGCACUGUGCUAAUUAACCCUCUUCAUCCUUGCUGGCACUUCCAGUGGUGUCACUGCUGCUUCAGCCGAACUGGUAGCUAGCUCUGACUGGAACUUGUCCCUGCUUGAACAGCGAUGCUGCAGCCAUCAGACCGUUCAUUCAGUGGGCUCCUGGAAAGUGCAAAUGCUCUUUUAUGGGAAAUGUAGAGCUAAAGGCAACGGUUCGCUACGUGACAGUAAAGCCAGAGAGUAAAGCUCUCAUUGACUGUAGUGGGAGCCAAGCUCUCGCCCUGUGUGAUGUCUGCAUUGCUUUUCUAGUGGCUCUGAAGUAGCAGUGAGUCAAUGUGGAGCAAUGUGCCACAGUUUGCAUGGCUAUCGGGGAUAAUGUCACAAAUAAAAUCAGGAGCUGUCAACUGUAAAUACUACUCAGCACAAUAAGAGAGAAGGGGCUGCCCCUAAUCCCUGCUGGAGCCAACGCCAUAGCUGCCAGGCCAGCUUCUUGCUCCUAAUGCUGUUUGACUUGACCUGUCCCGGCUAUCUCUGUGCUUAGCCUACUUCCCUGCCUGCUGGAAAGGUCAAGGCUGGAAGACCCCCUCCCCGUACACCACCACAUCCAUCACCGCCUGCUUUUAAAGGCAGGACUACCCCAAGGCUUUUGCAGGCAGAGGAGACCUGUGCGGUCUCGGCAGUCAGAGCAGGAUGCAGCUUGUCACUGCAAUUCCAGCACAGCAUCCCUGCCUGGCAGCAAAAUACUCUGACAAAAAUGGAUAGAGAGGGCUGCCUGAACAACCUCAUUGGAUUUUUGGGCUCAGCCUUGAUUCUCGGCAUUCAAUGGGACAUAUUCAUGAUCAGUAUGGAUUUGAGAUCAUGUCUUUGGUUUUGAUUGAUACUCAGCCUGAACUGAGAGGCUUGGAGCUUGGCUGGGGUCCUAUCUUCCUUCCUGCUGAAAAUUCUUUGUUCCUGGCUCAUUUGAGUGGAUGUGCUCACCCACUACAGAAGGUCAUGUUGAAGCUGAUGUAGUUAAUUGUUUGUCAUAAAUUGUUAAUUUGCCAAAAUAAGCAUUCAGUCAAGGCAAAAUUAUUUGUGAAUUUUAAAUGCACUCACUGAACAUUAUGGACAUUUAAAACAAUGAGGACAACAUAGGAAUGCCAAAAUACUUUUCUUUUUUCCCAACAAAUUGUUUGGAUAUCCCAAUUUCACAGAUGAAGUCCUAAGGCUGGUAGGAAGAGAGGGGAGAGUCCUGCACCAUCACCCAGGUACAGCCCUUCUGUUUCAGCAGUUCCUGAUCAGGAUGCUGGGAUGGACCACAACAGAACCGUGUCACAUGCCACAGAGGUGGCACAGAUGUAGUGUAGUCCACAAAUGUAGUCCAUUUCUCAAGGAAGAAGCAUUAGCACUGGAGCAUAAACCCCUUUCACGGGCUCCAGUCUGUAUGAAACUCUCCAGACUUGUGAGUUUUGAGGGUGUAUUUUUUGCUAAGCCUUCUGUCUUCUCCCGAGAGCAGGGAAUAAAUAAAUACAAGGGGUAGUUAUUUAUUGGUGCUUAAUCCUUUUUUUUUAUAAAAAAAAAAAAGAAUGAGCUACACAGUUUAGCUAACACAUAGAAGUACUGUAAGAAAUAUUUAUUAAAUAAAUGCACUGAUUUUUUAUGAAACAAUGACAAGAUUCUCACUGUUAAAAUGAAUGUUGUGUAGCAUACCAACAUUAUUUUGGCUUGUUGACAUAUCCCUAAAAGGGGGGAGCAAGGGGGAAUUAAAGGCUGAAGUGAGAAACACAUAUCCUACUGAUUUGUGAAUGAGCAGGAAGGUUAUACAUGUAGCUCUUUAAAACAGAACUAAGUAAGGACCCGAUGUUAUAAUACAGAUACAAAAUAAAUUCAUGUUUCUAGAGAAGAAUCUUGUGAAAUUAACAUGGCACCCUGGCAUACAGUUAUUGCAAUGCUGUUAAUAUAGGACUACCAGGAAAUUUGGCCUGCAGCAUAAAGGAAUUGUAAUAGCCUAAUACAGUAGGCUUUGAAAUGAAAUAACUUCAUGUGAAUACUUAAGAGCAAUAGAAAGUAUCUGAAAGGUUGAAAUGCAAGAGUAAUAACACCACUGGAAAUGUUUAAUAUGUAUUUCACUUCUCAUUCAGAAAUAACGUAUUUCACAUAAGAAUUCCAAGUUUUCACUAGAUCUCCAGUUGGGUAGAAAUUGGAAAAUCUCUGAAGAAGGUGAUGCCUAAGUUCUACUGUGAUUAUAGUCCUUUGCUUUGAUUACACAUAUCUGGAAAACAGUGGCAGAAUUAUUGUUGGUCCCAAAUAAACAGACAACUAACA